rnacentral:rRNA from 1 species
GUUGUUCUCAGUUCGGAUUGUAGUCUGCAACUCGACUACAUGAAGCUGGAAUCGCUAGUAAUCGUAGAUCAGCAUGCUACGGUGAAUACGUUCCCGGGUCUUGUACACACCGCCCGUCACACCACGAGAGUUUGUAACACCCGAAGCCGGUGGAGUAACCUUUUAGGAGCUAGCCGUCGAAGGUGGGACAAAUGAUUGGGGUGAAGUCGUAACAAGGUAGCCGUAUCGGAAGGUGCGGCUGGAUCACC